AAGGCUUUAAGUUAAAAAAAACUAUUAUCCUUCAAAGCUAAAAAUAAAUUAUUUUUAAGCCUUA
rnacentral:tRNA from 1 species